rnacentral:lncRNA from 1 species
AAAUUAAUAAUUUAAUUCAUCUAUUUGAUUUUUUAAAAAAUAAUCUUUUGAAAAAAAUUAAAUUUUAUAAAAAAUUAGUAUUUUUAUUUUUUAAAUUUUUUAUCCGGAAAGCGAAAACUAUAAAUUAGUAGUUUUUUAUUUAAAAUUCAUAACAAAAUGCUUUUCCGUUGUAACAGAAUUAGGUUAUAUUAAUAUAUUUUUUGUACACUUUUAUAUAAGUGUUCCAUUUAAGCGAAAUUUUUUUAAAAAAAAUCUAUUAAGUCGUAAAUAUAAAGUCCAAUCUAAUAAAACAUAAAAAGUUUCUCUACUCAACCAACCAUACCUAGUCCAUUCGGUCUGAUUAAAAAAAAAAAAUUAAUCACCAUCUUCCCUUCUCCUCCUCUGGCGCCGUAGCUGACAAGAUAGGAUUCCGGUGGCUAAAGUUCGUCCGCGAGGAUCUUUCAUGGACUGUAGAGAAUUACGAUCACCACGUAUCCUUCUACCAUAGGUCGUUGGAGGAAUGAGAGCCAAAUAUUAAGACGGUCCUACCUAUACCGACUCUACAUAUAACAAUACUUUUAACAAAUGUCGAUAAUUUAGCUAACAGUAUAUUUUUUUACUUAUACCGAUAUUUAAAAGUGUCGUUAUAUAUCUUUUUUAUCAUAGUGUCGGAAUAAAACAUAUAGAAAUAUAUUUUUUUAUUUUUUUAAUAAAUUUAUAA